rnacentral:rRNA from 1 species
GAGAGUUUGAUCCUGGCUCAGAACUAACGCUGGCGGCGUGCCUAACACAUGCAAGUCGAACGAGAAAGUUGGCUUCGGCCGAUGAGUAAAGUGGCGCACGGGUGAGUAACGCGUGGAUAAUCUGGCCUUUAGUUUGGAAUAACGUACCGAAAGGUGCGCUAAUACCGGAUAAUACUGAAUGACUACUGUCGUUUGGUCAAAGAAGGCUUCUGUUUACAUGCCCUUGCUGAAGGAUGAGUCCGCGUACCAUUAGCUAGUUGGUAGGGUAAUGGCCUACCAAGGCGACGAUGGUUAGCUGGUCUGAGAAGAUGAUCAGGCACACUGGAACUGAGACACGGUCCAGACUCCUACGGGAGGCAGCAGUGAGGAAUAUUGCGCAAUUGGGGCAACCCUGACGCAGCAACGCCGCGUGAGUGAGGAAGGGUUUCGGACCGUAAAGCUCUGUCGAACGGGAAGAAAUGCAUGGUGGCUAAUAUCCAUCAUGCUUGACGGUACCGCUAAAGGAAGCACCGGCUUACUCCGUGCCAGCAGCCGCGGUAAUACCGGGGGUGCGAGCGUUGUUCGGAAUUAUUGGGCGUAAAGAGCGUGUAGGCGGCCGAAUAAGUCAGAUGUGAAAUUCCUGGGCUUAACCCAGGACGUGCAUUUGAAACUAUUCGGCUGGAGUAAGGGAGAGGAAAGUGGAAUUCCUGGUGUAGAGGUGGAAUUCGUAGAUAUCAGGAGGACCACCGGUGGCGAAGGCGACUUUCUGGCCCUAUACUGACGCU